rnacentral:rRNA from 1 species
GACGAACGCUGGCGGCGUGCCUAAUACAUGCAAGUCGAACGCAGUGGGGACGGGUGAGUAACACGUGGGUAACCUCCCAUCAGAGGGGAUAACACUUGGAAACAGGUGCUAAACCGAUACUGAUGGAUGGACCCGCGGUGCAUUAGCUAGUUGGUGGGGUAACGGCUCACCAAGGCCAAGAUGCAUAGGCGACCUGGGGGGUGAAUCAUCCCCCCUGGGACGAAGAAACGGCCCAGAAUCCUCCCAAAAUCACCAAAACUAAAUCUUCAGCAAUGAACGAAAGUCUGACCGAGCAACGCAGCGUGAGUGAAGAAAUUGUUCGGAUCCUAAUACUCUGUUGUUAGAGAAGCGGUAUCUAACCAGAAAGCCACGGCUAACUACGUGCCAGCAGCCGCGGUAAUAC